GGGGAGGCCUCUCAAAUGACAUCUCUAUCCCCAGUGUUGGACUCGCCUGGCUUAUUAGAUGAGAGCAGUGGGCAGCCCUCUCAUUGUGACCACCAGUGUCGGAGGUGUCCCUGUAGCCAUCACCCCAAGCCUUAGCCCAACGAAGCCCCCACUCCCCCAGCAGCAGUCCAGAGGCUGAAUCUCGACUGUAAGAGCCAACCUGUCUGCACCCACAACCUUUGUUCGCAGCUUAUUGGUCCAACCUUCCCUUCAAUCUUCUCCAGGCCAGUGGGCCUGGUGCUCUGGCACUGGGAUCCCACUAAGGAAGACCUUCUUCUCCACCUGUGAACUGAAACAUUUCUCCCAAGUGGAAAAUAAGGAGGCAUCAGAGACUCUUGGCAUAAAAAGGAAGGAGCCCAUCCACCAGGCUGGAGUGCAGUGGCGUGAUCUCAGCCCACUGCAACCUCUGCCUCCCGGGUUCAAGCAAUUCUCCUGCCUCAGCCUCCUGAGUAGCUGGGACUACAGGUGAGUACCACCACACCCGGCUAAUUUUUUUUGUAUUUUUAGUAAAGAUGAGGUUUCACCAUGCUAGCCAGUUUGGUCUCGAACUCCCGACAUCAAAUGAUCCACUGGCCUCAGCCUCCCAAAAUGUUGGUAUUACAGGCGUGAGCCACUGUACCUGGCCCUCCUGGGGUGGUUUUGUACCCAUGCUAGUUCUCACUCAUCAUGCAGUUGGUAGCCCAUAAAAGGAGCUGAAGGAGGGAGAAGGGGUGUGUAAGUGACCUUGAGAAAUAGUGAUGGCCCAAGAUGCAUGAUUUUGCCAGCCUCCACCUCCUGGAUUCAAGCCAUUCUCCUGCCUCAGCCUCCCAAGUAGCUGGAACUACAGGCGCCGGCCACCAUGCCUGGCUAAUUUUUGUGUUUUUAGCAGAGAUGGGGUUUCGCCGUUUUGGCCAGGCUUCCCCACCUUGGAAUUGGUAAGAAUUACCGAUUAAUUAAGACAGCCGGCGACUACUGGAGGCUUUGCCUGCUAUCUGGAGGACACAGAUUUGCCCUCCAGCCUUUCUGCCCUGUAGUGACAAUUCACAGACACCCCAACCCUGGGUAGCCCUUCCUGGGCCUUUGCUUUGCUCCUUUCUUUCCCCACUUCUCCACCUGCUGAAAUCUCAAUCUGCCUGCUAUGCUUAGCAUAAGCGCUACCACCUCUAAGAAAUGAAUCCCCUUCCAGUGCCCUCCUUUCUCACUUGCAGGCAUCUGCCUCGAAGUUCACAGUGUUUGUUUGUUUGUUUGUUUGUUUGUUUGUUUGUUUGUUUUGAAACUGAGUCUCGCUCUGCUGCCCAGGCUGGAGUGCAGUGGUGCGCUAUCGGCUCACAGCAACCUCC
rnacentral:lncRNA from 1 species